AAGAAACCCAUAUGAAUUAUAUCAUCAAGAUAAACAAGACACUUAAGACACUCCUCCCACACUCUGAAGAGACUUCAAUGGAGCAGAGACUGAAGCAGUGAAGAGAGCAAGUAUUCAAGCAAACAGAGGACAUGGAGUGUCAAAAGACAAGGACUUUACAACAACCUUAUGAAACUGGAAGGAAGUAACUGGGGCUCAGAGACACAGAGAUCAUACCUCUGAAGAGUUGAUGGAGCCAAUUAGAUGCCGAAAACAAACUUUAAACUUAAUUCCUGUGUGGAUUGAAGAUGCAACACCCACUGUAGUCUCAUGUGUUUGGACACUUGAUCUCCAACUGUUCGUGCUGCUAGGAAAAGUUUUGGAACCUUGGGAAGGCAGUGCUUCACUGGGGGUGCUGGGUCAUUGUAGGAAGGCCUUGAGGGCUUCUAGCUCUGCCCUACUUCCAGUUAACCCUAUGCUCCCUGGCAGCAGAUAAAAUGUGAUCAGCCAGGCUUCUAGUUCCUGCCCUCAUGCUCUCCCCACCGUGAUGAACUGAAGCUGUAAACCAAAAUCAACCCUUCCUUUCUUUAAUGGUUUUUGUUACACAAACAAGUAGCUAAUGCAGUCUCCUAAUUCCAAUUCUAGGUUAAGAUAUUCUGUGAAUCCAUCAUGAUAAUUUUAGUUCUGUUGUCUUCUCUAAUGCAGCCAUCAGGGACCAGUUUUAAAACAUUUAAAUGUUGAAGCCAGAAGAGAUUUGAAUCCCAUCAAUCCAUCCUCAUCCUACUACAAAGAAGAAAAACGAAGCCUUAUCUCAGAACCAACUGGCACAAGGCUACAAACCUUGCUAAACUUCAAGAUUGUUGAUUAUUGUUUCCCAAAUCAGUGCACAGAAAAAGAUAGCCAGGAGGUACAGCAAUUGUUAGGGAAAACCAUGGUUGAUGUGUGAAACAGAAAGUGACUCUGAAAAUGGGUUAUCCAGGCACUGUUGCUAAGAAACUCACGCUGUGUCUGUGUAUCCAUCAUGGAAAGGGAGGCUUCAGUGAUUCAUUGACUUCAGCCCAGUUAGCUAUAGUGUACAAGAACAUAGACUCUGAAACUUUUACAGAUCUACUUCCUUUGACAAGGUUUUAAACACCUCAUGGCUCUUUAUUUACAAAGAUGAAGAUUGGGCCUACUGCUGCCUCUUGCUUUCUGCUUCUUGGAGAAUGUUUGAGGAUCCAGUUUCUUCCUACAGAAAACCAUCUGCACUCCUGUAGAUAAACGGGAUCUCUAUGGGCCCACAUGCAAAUUUGCAAAGAUCUCAUGAAAGCAGAGAUGGGUCAAAAAUCUGAUAAGAGGAAUUUAUAGAAAUAUACAUUCACAAUAAACUAGGAUCUCUGUUUUCUGAAGGCUUUUGAAAAAUCACCCUCCAUAAAUGAAGUCAAUUUGUAUGGCUUUUUAAAUUAAGAAUUUGUCUACUUUGGAAAUCACACUUUUACAAAUAACAGGUAUUUGUAAAAUUGGGCAGGACCAGACUUGGAGCCUGGAGAGCAGGGUCCACUAUCACCCUCAUUUCCUAUCUGCAUGACUUUCAAAAGUUAGGCCAUGAAUGACCUUUCAAAGACUUGGUGUGCUUAUUGCAAAAUGGAGAUAAUAACAUUAACACCCAGAGUUUAAACUUCGAGAAGAACUAGCUCAGCCAUGAAACACAUUUGUUUCAUGACUUGAUUCCAACCUGUGUCUGAAAUUGGAGGAAUAAAUUUUGGGCAGGUCAGAUAGUAAGAAAAUGACCACAUUUCUGGGAAUCCUUUAAACUCUAGUAAUUAUAUAUGAUUACUUUGUAUGCAAAGCCUUAUACAUACAUAUGUAUAUGUAUAUAUAUGCACACAUAUUUUCCAUAUAUGCAUACAUAUUAUCU
ensembl:lncRNA